GACGAACGCUGGCGGCGUGCUUAACACAUGCAAGUCGAACGGAAAGGCCCUGCUUUUGUGGGGUGCUCGAGUGGCGAACGGGUGAGUAACACGUGAGUAACCUGCCCUUGACUUUGGGAUAACUUCAGGAAACUGGGGCUAAUACCGGAUAGGAGCUCCUGCUGCAUGGUGGGGGUUGGAAAGUUUCGGCGGUUGGGGAUGGACUCGCGGCUUAUCAGCUUGUUGGUGGGGUAGUGGCUUACCAAGGCUUUGACGGGUAGCCGGCCUGAGAGGGUGACCGGCCACAUGGGGACUGAGAUACGGCCCAGACUCCUACGGGAGGCAGCAGUGGGCAAUAUUGCACAAUGGGCGGAAGCCUGAUGCAGCAACGCCGCGUGCGGGAUGACGGCCUUCGGGUUGUAAACCGCUUUCGCCUGUGACGAAGCGUGAGUGACGGUAAUGGGUAAAGAAGCACCGGCUAACUACGUG
rnacentral:rRNA from 1 species